GCAUAUCAAUAAGCGGAGGAAAAGAAACUAACAAGGAUUCCCCUAGUAACGGCGAGUGAAGUGGGAAAAGCUCAACUUUGAAAUCUGGCACCUUCGGUGUCCGAAUUGUAGUCUCUAGAAGUGUUUUCCGUGCUGGCCCAUGUGUGAGUCUGUUGGAACACAGCGUCAUAGAGGGUGACAACCCCGUUCAUAACAUGGACCCCAGUGCUUUGUGAUACACUCUCGACGAGUCGAGUUGUUUGGGAAUGCAGCUCAAAUUGGGUGGUAAAUUCCAUCUAAAGCUAAAUAUUGGCGAGAGACCGAUAGCAAACAAGUACCGUGAGGGAAAGAUGAAAAGCACUUUGGAAAGAGAGUUAACAGUACGUGAAAUUGCUAAAAGGGAAACGAUUGAAGUCAGACGUGCGUGAUGCAGUUCAGCUCUGGUUCGCCAGAGUGUAUUCUGUGUCUUUGCAGGCCAACAUCGGUUUCACGAGGCGGAUAAAGGUUUGAGAAAUGUGGCAGCUUCGGCUGUGUUAUAGUCUCUUGCUGAAUACGCCUCGAGGGACCGAGGAACGCAGCGCGCCGCAAGGCAAAGCUUCCGGGCUUUUCGCGCUUAGGAUGUUGGUGAAAUGGCUUUAAACGACCCGUCUUGA
rnacentral:rRNA from 1 species